rnacentral:miRNA from 1 species
UACAGGACAUGUGUGAAAAGG